rnacentral:rRNA from 1 species
UACGUAGGUGGCAAGCGUUGUCCGGAUUUACUGGGCGUAAAGAGCGCGCAGGCGGUCGUCCAAGUCGCGUGUGAAAGCCCCCGGCUCAACUGGGGAGGGUCAUUCGAUACUGUUCGACUCGAAGGCAGGAGAGGGAAGUGGAAUUCCGGGUGUAGUGGUGAAAUGCGUAGAUAUCCGGAGGAACACCAGUGGCGAAGGCGACUUUCUGGCCUGUUCUUGACGCUGAGGCGCGAAAGCUAGGGGAGCAAACGGG